rnacentral:lncRNA from 1 species
UGAUGACGAAGAGGAUGAGGAGGGGGAAGAAGAAGACCUUGAGAAUGCUGAAGCUAAUGUUGAUGAGCUUGUCCCUGAGUGCCCCAAGACCUACUUCUUUGGUCGCUCGUUAGUGACCCAGUGAGACAUUGACUUUUAUUGAAGAAAGGGUAUUUUGCCAGUGGACAUUGCAGACCCCCAAAUGAUAAAGAAAUUCCUGUUCUAAAAACCAAUGAAACCGUGGUGUUUUGUGACUUCUUUGUUGUUGGUCUGAGGUUUCCUCUUGAAAAAGUUAUUGCAGACAUUCUU